GUGAGGGUGAGGUAGAGGAAGAGGAAAGAGAACACGCAAGGAGGUGCAGGUGGCAGUAGCUCUAGCAGUCCUAAGAAUGUUGAAAAUGGGAGAGGAAGAGGAGGAGGACAGGAGGAGGAAAGGAAUGGGUGGUAAAGGGGGCUCGUCCGACGCUGCAAGCAGAGCAGACUGCCACCUCCUUCCCCAGCCCAGUCGGUGGGAGGGUCUUGAAGCAGCUCUGUACGAGUGAGGGAUCCAGACACAGACCAGCGGGCUGCAGCUUUUCUACAACCUGGGAGAACGCAGGGAAGAGGAGAAGAGGAGUGGAGAGCAGAGGGGAUGGCGCCAGCACGAGGAGUCGAUUCCCCCUACUGGUUGCACAUGGAGCUACCAGCUGGAACACAGUGUCUUCAGUCUUAUCAAAAUAGGCUGAUUAACCUCAAAACUACUUCGAUAAACAACUUUCCAUGUGCAAA